UACGUAGGGUGCAAGCGUUGUCCGGAAUUAUUGGGCGUAAAGAGCUCGUAGGCGGUCUGUCGCGUCGGCUGUGAAAUCCCGGAGCUCAACUCCGGGUCUGCAGUCGAUACGGGCAAACUGGAGUACUGCAGGGGAGACUGGAAUUCCUGGUGUAGCGGUGAAAUGCGCAGAUAUCAGGAGGAACACCGGUGGCGAAGGCGGGUCUCUGGGCCAUAACUGACGCUGAUGCACGAAAGCUAGGGGAGCAAACAGG
rnacentral:rRNA from 1 species